rnacentral:pre_miRNA from 1 species
CCUGGGGAUCUUGUUGAAAUGCAGAUUCUGAUUCAGCAGGCCAGAGAUUCUGCAUCUCUAACAAGCUCCCUGGUGAUGCUGAUGCUGCU